rnacentral:rRNA from 1 species
CGUAGGAGGCGAGCGUUAUCCGGAUUCACUGGGCGUAAAGCGCGUGCAGGUGGCUUGGUAAGUUAGGCGUGAAAUCUCCCGGCUCAACUGGGAGAGGUCGCCUAAUACUACCGGGCUAGAGAGCAGAAGAGGAAGAUGGAAUUCCCGGUGUAGUGGUGAAAUGCGUAGAUAUCGGGAGGAACACCAGUGGCGAAGGCGAUCUUCUGGUCUGUUUCUGACACUCAGACGCGACAGCUAGGGUAGUAAACGGGAUUAGAGACCCCGGUAAUCCUAGCCGUAAACGAUGUGAACUUGGCGUUGGUGGGUUAAACUCCAUCAGUGCCGAAGCAAACGCGAUAAGUUCACCGCCUGGGGACUACGGCCGCAAGGUUA